AACGAACGCUGGCGGCGUGCCUAACACAUGCAAGUCGAACGAGAAAGGGGCUUCGGCUCCGAGUAAAGUGGCGCACGGGUGAGUAACACGUGGGUAACCUGCCUCUAAGAUUGGGAUAACUCGUCGAAAGAUGAGCUAAUACCGGAUAAGACCCCAGUUCCCGCGGGAACAGGGGUCAAAGGUAGCCUCUGCUUGCAAGCUAUCACUUAGAGAUGGGCCUGCGCACCAUUAGCUAGUUGGUAGGGUAACGGCCUACCAAGGCAAAGAUGGUUAGCUGGUCUGAGAGGGUGAUCAGCCACACUGGAACUGAGACACGGUCCAGACUCCUACGGGAGGCAGCAGUGGGGAAUAUUGCGCAAUGGGCGAAAGCUUGACGCAGCAACGCCGCGUGAGUGAUGAAGGCCUUCGGGUCGUAAAGCUCUGUCGGGAGGAACGAAUGCUCCCAAGGUUAACAGCCUCGGGAGGUGACGGUACCUUCAAAGGAAGCACCGGCUAACUCUGUGCCAGCCGCCGCAGUAAGAC
rnacentral:rRNA from 1 species